UGGGGAAUAUUGCACAAUGGGCGCAAGCCUGAUGCAGCCAUGCCGCGUGUGUGAAGAAGGCCUUCGGGUUGUAAAGCACUUUCAGCGAGGAGGAAGGUGGUGAGCUUAAUACGCUCAUCAAUUGACGUUACUCGCAGAAGAAGCACCGGCUAACUCCGUGCCAGCAGCCGCGGUAAUACGGAGGGUGCAAGCGUUAAUCGGAAUUACUGGGCGUAAAGCGCACGCAGGCGGUUUGUUAAGUCAGAUGUGAAAUCCCCGGGCUCAACCUGGGAACUGCAUUUGAAACUGGCAAGCUAGAGUCUCGUAGAGGGGGGUAGAAUUCCAGGUGUAGCGGUGAAAUGCGUAGAGAUCUGGAGGAAUACCGGUGGCGAAGGCGGCCCCCUGGACGAAGACUGACGCUCAGGUGCGAAAGCGUGGGGCAGCAAACAGGAUUAGAUACCCUGGUAGUCCACGCUGUAAACGAUGUCGAUUUUGGAGGUUGUGCCCUUGAGGCGUGGCUUCCGGAGCUAACGCGUUAAAUCGACCGCCUGGGGAGUACGGCCGCAAGGUUAAAACUCAAAGG
rnacentral:rRNA from 1 species